rnacentral:rRNA from 1 species
AUUAAACGCUGGCGGCAUGCCUUACACAUGCAAGUCGAACGGCAGCACGGGGGCAACCCUGGUGGCGAGUGGCGGACGGGUGAGUAAAGCAUCGGAACGUAUCCUGGAGUGGGGGAUAACGUAGCGAAAGUUACGCUAAUACCGCAUAUUCUGUGAGCAGGAAAGCAGGGGAUCGCAAGACCUUGCGCUCUGGGAGCGGCCGAUGUCGGAUUAGCUAGUUGGUGGGGUAAAGGCCUACCAAGGCGACGAUCCGUAGCGGGUCUGAGAGGAUGAUCCGCCACACUGGGACUGAGACACGGCCCAGACUCCUACGGGAGGCAGCAGUGGGGAAUUUUGGACAAUGGGCGGAAGCCUGAUCCAGCCAUGCCGCGUGAGUGAAGAAGGCCUUCGGGUUGU